rnacentral:antisense_RNA from 1 species
AUUUCUCACAUGAGGUCCCGGCGAGAAGGACCUGCCUCCAUCAGAUUCACACUCGGGAGAGGGGCCCGGCCUCCAGGAGCGCCAGGCAGAGGAGAGGGCACCCAUUAGGAAGAAGAACACAGAGGCCAUGGGAGUGAAAAGUUUGAUGCUGGAAAGCAAUAGUAGCACAUUCUGCUACAGAGCGGAAUGAAAAACCCUGGAGAGCAAAUUCCUGAGCCAGAGAAUGGAGCGGAGGAACCAGCCAAGGAGGAUAAAGAGAUGGGAACAGGCAAGAAAACCUGGAAAACUACCUGCUGUCAUCAGGGGUUGGUUGGUUGAGCCUUUCCCUGUGCUUGCCUGGCAGAACUGUGUGCUCUGAGGCUGCCCGACCCUGAGCUCCAGAACAGACCAUCGAGGCUGGUCCCAGGCCACCAGGCCGGGUGCAAUGCAGAAAUGGAGAUCUGCCCCGGGGAAGGCAGGUGAGUGUAGGAAGGAGGGAGGGCUGC